rnacentral:lncRNA from 1 species
CACAAAUGGAGCUUUCCCUGCUGGAGGCACAUUGCAGUUCCCCCUUGGAAAAAAGAAAGUUUAAGAAGCAGUCUCUCCGCAGGAGCCUUUAAUGUUAUUUUCAAAGGCUGAGGUUUGAAACUGAAAGGCGCUUUGGUUUCCAGGGUAUUGCCAACGGGGCUGAAAUUACAUUGCCACAGCCAAGGAAGGUCGUUCAUGUUUAGUCAGCUCUGCUGUCACCAGGGCUCUGCCUCUUAACUUUGCUGGCCUGUCAUAGACAGGGUAAGGGCACAUCAUUUUUGUACUUUGCUAUAUAGCAUGGACACAAGUCUGGAAGGUCUGCAAAACUCUUUUUUUUUUUUUUCCAUCAGGUUUCAUUCAGUCUGCAUUUUUUCUGCUGCUGUGAAUUUCCCAGUCUCAUGGAAUAUCAAAUCGUUCGGAGAUACUGAUUCUGUUCCUGUUCAUAAAGGAGGACUUAUGCAUGAGGCUGAAAUUUCUGAUAUCAGAGGAGAGAGGCUGGUUUGGAGCAGAGGACUGGAGUGGAUAACCAAGAAACAAAGUGAAAGUCAGUGGGAGCCUGCCUGCGCUGGAAUGCCUGCCCCAGUUGUGAACUGUGAAAUCCAGAUGGUUUUCCUCCCACCGAACGGGGAGCGCUGCCGCAGCUCGGCUGGCCGCAGCUUGUGGGCGCUGAUACCUGGGUGCUGGUUGGGCUCGGGGCCUGCCGGCUGCAGGAGGAGAAGUGUGGGGUAUGGGAUUUGGCACGUUGCUGUCUGUGCCCCCAAACCAGGGGCACACCUCAACAUUGUGCUGGUCCACCCGUGUUCAGCCCCUUCCAGGAUGCUGCUGUGGAAUGGGAAAAAGAAGCAGGUUUUGAACCCUGUCCUUUUGUCAGAACGUCCUGGGAGAAAUGGUGAUAGUGGGGAGGCGCUGGGGGGUGGGAGCUGCCUGCCGUUCAUGAGGUCUCUUCCAGUGAUGGAAGAUGACAUUACCACAGGCUGAUGUUACCCUGGGCUGCCCCAGGCGAAGCUGCUCGCAGGUCGAGGUGCUCCUUCCCCACUGCUCAGCGCUGCUGAGGCCGCUCCUGUAGUGCUGGCUCCAGCGCCAUGGUCCCCACUACACCGUGAUGCUCAGCACAAGAGGGACAAGGAGCUCAAGAGACCAGUAAGAGCCCAAGGAAGGGCCACCAAGAAAAGAGCCUGAGUUGUCUCGGCUACAAGGAGAGUUUGGGAGAACUGGGGCUGCUCGGCCUGCAGAAGACGAGACUCCCCCAUGGCCAUAAACACCUGAAGGGAGGUGAGGAGAGGACAGAGCCCGACCAUGCUCGGCGGUGCCCAGCACCAGGACCAGGGGCACUGGGCACAGACUGGAGCACCAGAAGGCACCAUGGUGCUGGGAGGAUGCAUGAGCAUGGGGCUGGGCACCCUGCUCGGGGGGACCCUGCAGGGGCUGGGGGUGCCUGGAGGCACCCGGAGGUGCCUCAAGCCUCAGCUGGUCUGAGACGCUGUGAUCAUAAUCACAUAGGCCAUGUGUUAUAUGUUACUUACGUAGUGAAUUCUCA